rnacentral:lncRNA from 1 species
AACAGCAACCGUGGGAGGGUCCAGAAAUCACCCCCUCUCUAGAGGCUGGAGAGAACAAGGGGUCUGAGGCCCAACUGUCCUACAGUAACAGAGGGCUCAGACAUCUACUUGCCUUGCUGAGCCCCUCUGCUGACAAAGAUCCUGGUAUCUCCAUAGGGGGCUGAGGCUUCGAGUGGACCAUGGGUGCUGCCAGCAGGUUAGCUGCUGACACAGCACCUCUCCCAGAGUGAUCUGGGACCUGCCUCGGGAACCCUCAUUUUAAAAGGCCCCGCCACCCUGUGGGAAGACACGCAGACUGGCUCAGAGGUCUUGGACGUCCUAGUAAGGGCUCAAUGACAGUGCCUGAGCUGGUCUUGAACACCUGAACUCAUUAUCUUCCUGCUUCAACCUGCCAACCACCAGGAAGACUGGAAUUGUUUCCACCCUGCUCAGUUUUCCUCAUGACAUCAGUUAGCACACACUGCAUACCUACAACGCACCUGGCCUGGUGUGUACAAUGCUAUCCCUUACCGGAGCCCGUCUCUCUAGAAUAAACCAGGGAGAGACAUAUCCACGCACAGACUCAAUGCUGGAAGGGCAUCGGAAACCCGCAGGACAUCCUAGCAGGGGCUGGUAUGAAGGAGGGUAACGGUAGACAUGUUCUGUCUACACUUUUGUGCUUUCCAGGUGUCAAAAGAACAUUCUACCCUUCUGUAAGUGGGAGACGUCAUAAUCAAUGACGUCUUUCAUUUAAAAAGAAAAAUGGAACCUUC